UCAUUUUAUAUUCCCCUAAAAACACUCAUUUUAUUGGUCACCGCCGGCGACAAAUCCCGCGCGGCGCCGGCGGCCGGCUCGCACGGCCUCCAACCCAUGGCGCACCACCUCCCCCCACCAUCAGCUAGCACUUGCGCGCUUGCAUGGCCGGCCCUCCUCCCUGCCAGCUCAGCCCCCUACGCCGGGCCCGACGUUCCCGCCGCCGACUGGCCGCUGACAUCGCCGCCCCUUCGCUCCAGUAACAUUCCAUGGGGAUUCUUUCGGUUCUGUAUUCUGAAGCCUAUCCAAUGUUCAAUGUUCAGACAAAAUUGAAGUACUUACCCAAUGUUCACUGCGGUGUUCAAUAGUCAGACAAAUUUGAAGUACUUACCCAAUGUUCACUGCUGUGUUCAAUAUUCAGACAAAUUUGAAGUACUCACCCAAUGUUCACUGUUUUGUUCAAUAUAUGCAGACAACUUUAUAAAUACAAUUUGUUUUGGACUCUUAACCUUGACUCUGAAAGCACAAUGUACUACUACAUGCCUAGUGUCCGCACGAAAACGGACAAAUAUGUGAACUUGGCAAGACUCCUAAAGACUGUGUAAUAAUAUUUCGUAAUUCAUAAGAGAAGGCAGUAGCAUAGAU